rnacentral:rRNA from 1 species
CCUACGGGAGGCAGCAGUAAGGAAUAUUGGUCAAUGGGCGGAAGCCUGAACCAGCCAUGCCGCGUGCAGGAAGACGGCCUACGGGUUGUAAACUGCUUUUGCAGGGGAAUAUGUACCUUGAGAAUAAGGAUCGGCUAACUCCGUGCCAGCAGCCGCGGUAAUACGGAGGAUCCAAGCGUUAUCCGGAUUUAUUGGGUUUAAAGGGUGCGUAGGUGGCUUUUUAAGUCAGGGGUGAAAGACGGUAGCUUAACUAUCGCAGUGCCUUUGAUACUGAAGAGCUUGAAUGAACUAGAGGUAGGCGGAAUGUGACAAGUAGCGGUGAAAUGCAUAGAUAUGUCACAGAACACCAAUUGCGAAGGCAGCUUACUAUGGUUAAUUGACACUGAGGCACGAAAGCGUGGGGAUCAAACAGGAUUAGAUACCCUUGUAGUC